AAGCGCAGCAUGCCUCCUUCAUUCCAUGGCUUCCCGCGAACAGCAUGUUAGUUAUGGCAACGACAUGUCAUAAGCACAAACCUAAAUCCUCUAUUUUUGUAUCGUCACUAACGCUUCUUCAGCGCUAUAAAUUCUUUCUUUCUUUUGUUGCUGUUCUCUUCUCUGCCUACCUUUAUUCUACUAUACGUUUCGAACUGCGUGAAGGAGGAAAGAUGAGCGACAUCCAAGCAGAAUCACACGAAGAGCUUACACCUCCUCUUUCUCUUUCUCCUCCUGCUUCUUCGUCUCAAGUGACCGUUACAGAAAAUAUAGACAAUACCCGACAAGAUUCCACUGAAGACCUUCCUCCUCCAUCUUCUCCUCCUCCUCCUCCUCCUCCUUCUCCUCCUCAUUCGUCCCCUCCCCUUUCUCCUUCUGCUUCUGCUCCUGCUCCUGCAGUUGCUCCAUUGCGCUAUCAAGCCCAAGAAACCGUUACCUUCAAUUUAACUGAAACGUGCCUGUUGUUUCUGCACAGAGGAGAUAUCACCAAGUGGUUUGUCGAUGGCCAAUCUGAUGCUAUUGUGAAUGCAGCCAAUAAAAGGCUACUUGGAGGUGGUGGGGUGGAUGGAGCUAUACACAAUGCUGCCGGACCUGAUCUUUUGCAAGCAUGCAAAGAGAUUCCAGAGAUUCAUCCUGGGAUUCGAUGCCCUGUGGGAAGUGCAAGGAUUACAAGAGGUUUCCAAUUACCUGUAUCACAUAUUAUUCAUACAGUUGGACCUAUGUAUGAUCUGGAGGAAGACCCAGAAAGUAAACUUUCUGAUGCAUAUAGGAGCUCUCUUGAUUUGGCUAAAGAAAAUGAAGUAAAAUACAUUGCUUUUCCUGCUAUAUCGUGUGGCAUAUAUGGAUAUCCUUAUGAAGAGGCUGCUGAAGUAUCAUUGACUACAGUGAGAGAUUCUGCAAACGAUUUGAAAGAGCGAUGAAAUUUUCACACUUCUGUACUUCAUCUGUAUGCCUAAAAGUGGCUAUUAAAUUACUUGGUUCAUUUUGUUCUCUUUGAAGCACCUGCUUGGAAGGCAUGGGUGGAAGAAGCAAAUGAGUUGUUUGAACAAACUUAAAUAUACAGUCAAUAAAGGAAGCAUGAGAUUGCUAGAGUAGAGCAGAGUCAAUAAAGGAAGCAUGAAGUUAUCUUUAUGGUUUAGUUGUGAGGUUGAGGUCCAUUGUUUUGACAUCAAUAUGGCUGUUGGAUCAUAUGCUACAUAGUUAUUAUCUUUUUUAUCCUUACCUACAUUUCUUUCCAUUUGUUUAGAGUACUCUAUGUAUCUGCCAUUUAUGAUGCUGUAUUUAUUUCUCCACGGUUGUUAUUGGUUACUAGUGUUUUUGGAGAAAUAAUAUCCAAUUUACGAUGAAAAUGCAAAUUCUGUUGUGUUUAUGAUUUCA